UACGGAGGGUGCAAGCGUUAUCCGGAUUCACUGGGUUUAAAGGGUGCGUAGGUGGGUCGGUAAGUCCGUGGUGAAAUCUCCGAGCUUAACUCGGAAACUGCCGUGGAUACUAUCAAUCUUGAAUACUGUGGAGGUAAGCGGAAUAUGUCAUGUAGCGGUGAAAUGCUUAGAUAUGACACAGAACACCGAUAGCGGAGGCAGCUUGCUACACAGUCAUUGACACUGAGGCACGAAAGCGUGGGGAUCAAACAGG
rnacentral:rRNA from 1 species